rnacentral:rRNA from 1 species
UACGAGUGCCCCAAGCGUUAUCCGGAAUUAUUGGGCGUAAAGGGUGUGUAGGUGGUCUUAUUAGUCUUCUGUUAAAUUUUCCGGCUUAACCGGAAACCUGCAGAGGAAACGGUAAGACUAGAGGAUGUGAGAGGUAUGCGGAACUCAUAGUGUAGGGGUGAAAUCCGUUGAUAUUAUGGGGAACACCAAAAGCGAAGGCAGCAUACUGGCGCAUUCCUGACACUGAAACACGAAAGCGUGGGUAGCGAAUGGG